rnacentral:rRNA from 1 species
UACGUAGGGUGCAAGCGUUAAUCGGAAUUACUGGGCGUAAAGCGUGCGCAGGCGGUUGUGCAAGACCGAUGUGAAAUCCCCGGGCUAACCUGGGAAUGGCAUUGGUGACUGCACGGCUAGAGUGUGUCAGAGGGGGGGUAGAAUUCCACGUGUAGCAGUGAAAAUGCGUAGAGAUGUGGAGGAAUACCGAUGGCGAAGGCAGCCCCCUGG